rnacentral:rRNA from 1 species
CCUACGGGUGGCAGCAGUGAGGAAUAUUGGUCAAUGGGCGAGAGCCUGAACCAGCCAAGUAGCGUGAGGGAGUACUGCCCUAUGGGUUGUAAACCUCUUUUGUAGAGGAGUAAAGCCGGACGUGUCCGGCUGUGAGAGUACCCGUUGUAAAAGCAUCGGCUAACUCCGUGCCAGAAGCCGCGGUAAUAUGGAGGGUGCGAGCGUUAAUCGGAAUUACUGGGCGUAAAGCGCGCGUAGGUGGUAUGUCAAGUCACGGGUGAAAGCCCCGCGCGCAACGGUGGAACUGCAUUUGAAACUGGCAAACUUGAGUGCGUGAGAGGAUAGUGGAAUUCCAGGUGUAGGAGUGAAAUCCGUAGAUAUCUGGAGGAACAUCAGUGGCGAAGGCGACUAUCUAGCACAUAACUGACGCUGAUGAGCGAAAGCGUGGGUAUCAAACAGGAUUAGAUACCCUUGUAGUC